CAGAAAGACCCUAUGAAGCUUUACUGUAGUUUGAUAUUGGUUCCGGGCUUUGUUUGCGCAGGAUAGGUGGGAGACGUUGAAAAAUUUCUUGCGGGAAAUUUGAUGUCAUUGGUGAGAUACCACUCUAACAAUGCAAGGACUCUAACUCUAUACCGUUAUCCGGUUAGAGGACAGUUUUAAGUGGUCAGUUUGACUGGGGCGGUCGCCUCCCAAAAUGUAACGGAGGUGUGCAAAGGUUUUCUCAGGCUGGUCGGAAAUCAGUUAUGGAGUGUAAAGGCAUAAGAAAGCUUGAUUGUUAGACCUACAAGUCGAACAAAGACGAAAGUCGGCCUUAGUGAUCCGACGGUUCCAAGUGGAAAGGCCGUCGCUCAACGGAUAAAAGUUACUCUAGGGAUAACAGGCUGA
rnacentral:rRNA from 1 species